rnacentral:rRNA from 1 species
UACAGAGGUCUCAAGCGAUUGUUCGGAUUCAUUGGGCGUAAAGGUGUGUAGGUGGCGCCGUAAGUCGGGUGUGAAAUUUCGGAGCUUAACUCCGAAACUGCAUUCGAUACUGCGGUGCUUGAGGACUGGAGAGGAGACUGGAAUUCAUGGUGUAGCAGUGAAAUGCGUAGAGAUCAUGAGGAAGACCAGUGGCGAAGGCGGGUCUCUGGACAGUUCCUGACACUGAGACACGAAGGCCAGGGGAGCAAACGGG